rnacentral:lncRNA from 1 species
CACUUGUUGCCACUCCUCUGCUUCCUCCUCCUCCACAGCCUCUAAACCUCUCUCUCUCUCUCUCUCUGCUUCGUCUUCUUCUUCUUACCUUCUACGCAGGUUUGUAAUCUGCAAAAUCACCUUUCAAUGGCGGCUUCUUCCUCUUCUUCUUCUCCCUCGUCUCUCCUCUUACCGAACAUCAGUUUCCAUUCCACAACCACUCGUUCCGUUUCAAUCCCCGGAAUCUUCCUGCCUAGAAAUCGCUUGAGACACAGUCACACUCUCCCGCUUCGAAUCAGAGCUUCCAGAGACGAUAAUGUCGCAGUGGAAGAUCGUGAAAACGCAGUGAUCAACGGAAACGGAAGCGUACGUCUGAACGGCAACGGAGCUGCGAGAAAAUCCAUCAACGGAGAUUUAAACGGAAACGUCCCUUUAAACGGCAACGGUAGUUUGGUGAAGUACGUGAACGGAAGCGUAACGGAGGAAGUCUCGAAGAAGAGAGAAGAAGAAAAGAGGCAGAAGAGAGUAGAAGACAUCGGUCAAGAGGAUGCUUGGUUUAAGAAAACUCAACAGAAACAACAAGUCGAGGUAAAUCACCACUUUAAAAAAAAAAAAAAGUUACUUUCUUUUUCACUCAAAAACCGUUUCUUUGUUCUAAUGAUUCCAUUACAUGAACACACAGGUUUCUGUUGCACCUGGUGGUCGAUGGAGUAGGUUCAAGACUUACUCGACCAUACAAAGAACAUUGGAGAUUUGGGGGUUUGUUAUAACGUUUAUCUUCAGGACAUGGUUGAGCGGUCAGAAGUUUUCAUACAAAGGUUGUUACUUUACUUUUAGUAUUUGUUUAUUGUAAAAGAAAAUUCUCAUUUGCUUUUUUUGUAUUUGCAGGGGGAAUGACUGAGGAGAAGAAGGUUUUGAGAAGGAAGGUUUUGGCUAAGUGGUUGAAGGAAAACAUAUUGAGGUUAGGUCCUACGUUCAUUAAAAUUGGGCAGCAGUUCUCUACCAGAGUGGACAUUCUUCCUCAAGAAUACGUUGAUCAAUUGUCAGAACUUCAGGUUUGAUCUCAUAUUGAAUGGCUUGUCUUCUGUGUUGCAUCCAUUUUAAAGUUUUUUUGGUGUCUUAUGUUUGCAGGAUCAAGUUCCUCCUUUCUCUUCUGCUACGGCUUUAUCAAUUGUUGAAGAGGAGCUUGGAGCAUCUGUUGAUGACAUUUUCGACCGUUUUGAUUAUGAACCUAUAGCUGCUGCUAGUCUUGGUAAGAGUCCUUUGUGGUAAUCUUCUUAUAAUGAUGCUGUCUUGUCUGCAAGAAAGUGAUAAUUAUAAUAAGUGUUUUGGUCUUGAUAAGUACAGGCCAAGUUCACCGUGCAAGAUUGAAGGGUCAAGAGGUUGUCAUUAAAGUACAGAGACCCGGUCUCAAGGAUCUCUUUGAUAUUGAUCUUAAAAACUUGAGGGUUAGUGUCUCUAGCCAUGCUUGAUAUUGAGUUAUUCGAUGUUGCAAGCGUCCUUGUCUCAUGGUUUGCUUCUGCUGAGUUAUUUGCUUUUUUUGUUAUGAUUUUGUAUAGGUGAUUGCUGAGUAUCUCCAAAAGGUGGAUCCAAAAUCAGAUGGUGCAAAGAGGGAUUGGGUUGCAAUUUAUGAUGAAUGUGCCAGUGUAUUGUACCAGGUAUCGCGAUGUAGUUUUUUUUUUUAGCAUAGAGGCUUAGUUGAAUUUUCUCUACUUGCUUCAGUUUGAAGUGAUCUCUAACUAGUAAGACCAAUGUGCUAUAUUUGUAGGAAAUUGAUUACACAAAGGAAGCAGCUAAUUCGGAACUGUUUGCUAAUAACUUCAAAAACUUAGAAUAUGUAAAGGUUCCAUCCAUCUACUGGGAGUACACCACGCCUCAGGUAAUAUUAUUACCUAUGAGCAUUAUUACUUCGUCAUAUACAAUGCCUUAAAGCUCGAAUGCAAUACCCAGGUCCUGACAAUGGAGUAUGUCCCUGGAAUUAAAAUUAACAAAAUACAAGCCUUAGAUCAGUUAGGUGUCCGUCCUCGAGCUAUAGAAGUCAGAUCACCAAAAACCAUAUCUUGAAAACCAAGAUGAGAAGGGAGUAUCGAUGGUAAGCCAACGACGAGGAAAACAACUUCAAAGACGACUAAACUCUGACCCAAUCCAAAAAGAUGCAGUUCUUAACAUCAGCUGAAAUCUAAGGAAGAAGAGGAGCAUCCAAUAUUGAAUGGAGCAGCCUAAAACGACGCGAGAAACAACCGCACAACUGAGAACUCCUAAACUCGAUCUACAACAAAUACCAGAAAUUUCAAGGUGAAGAAGGUGAUAAAGAACAUGAGCAGGAUGCGAGUCUUUUUCGGUGAUGAUGAGAAACAACGCAUACCAGAAAGGUAAACAAAAUACAUAGAUGUUGAAGGCUCAAUGUCCAAAUAUGGGAAAAAGGCAAAAACAUCUUGAAAGUUAUAAUGUUCAAAAAUAUAAAAAAAAUAAAAGACAAUUUUGACGCUGAAACCGUUAAUCUUAAAAUCAACAAAUGCAUAAAUGCAAAGUUAUUGAAAUUCAAUAUAUUUUUACAUUAUAGAGGCUCACUUCACUACUAACAAAUACUAUACAGACAAACCACAUUAUUGAAAAAACAAAGACAAAAUAUAUUAACAUAUCACUAUUACUACUACAUAACACAAUAAAAACACCAAAUAACGUUAUUAACAAAUAAAAAUAAUCAUAUAAUUACAUUAUCUAAAAAAUCAUAUUUUUAACAACAAUAAAACAAUAUCGGGCGGACACACCGUGGUAAUACAAUGUUUAAAAAAAAAAGGAAGGCUUCUUUGUGGCUGUGAUAACGAGAUGAUGUGUCAUACAACAACCAAUCAAAACACUAGAGCAUCUGCUUCACUCAUCUAAUCUCAUGUCACGUGUCAAUUUCGUAUCCACCCCUUUAUUUGCACUUGUUGCCACUCCUCUGCUUCCUCCUCCUCCACAGCCUCUAAACCUCUCUCUCUCUCUCUCUCUGCUUCGUCUUCUUCUUCUUACCUUCUACGCAGGUUUGUAAUCUGCAAAAUCACCUUUCAAUGGCGGCUUCUUCCUCUUCUUCUUCUCCCUCGUCUCUCCUCUUACCGAACAUCAGUUUCCAUUCCACAACCACUCGUUCCGUUUCAAUCCCCGGAAUCUUCCUGCCUAGAAAUCGCU